CUACGGAGGGUGCGAGCGUUGUUCGGAAUUACUGGGCGUAAAGCGUGCGUAGGCGGUUUGGCAAGUCAGGUGUGAAAGCCCUCGGCUCAACCGAGGAACUGCACUUGAAACUGCCAGACUGGAGUUCGGGAGAGGGUAGCGGAAUUCCGGGUGUAGGGGUGAAAUCCGUAGAUAUCCGGAGGAACACCGGUGGCGAAGGCGGCUACCUGGACCGAUACUGACGCUGAGGUACGAAAGCGUGGGGAGCAAACAGGAUUAGAUACCCCGGUAGUCC
rnacentral:rRNA from 1 species